AGAUGCAGAGCAGGGGGCUGAUGGGAGAGGAAGGCUGCAGAGGGCCAGCAGACCUGUAGCAGCCACUUUAUCCAGAUCCUGCAGUUGAAGGAAGAAUACCUGCAGAGAGCCACAGGGCCCCGUGAGGUCAGCCCUGAGCCCUCCACCAGGGAGAAGGAGUGUCUGCUUGAAGGCCUGGACCACCCCACUUGCUGCCAGCCUGUCAGUGACCACCACCCAUUCACAGGAGACUGCGUGUUGGCCUCUUCCAGGGUGGAGGCAACUCCUUGGAACCACUUCCACAGUUUGGACAAGGAGCUUCAAAACUCGGCCAUGGCCAAGGUCUGUGGGUGAUGGGGUCAUGAGGCAUGGGUUGGGGCCUUUCCCACAUCAGGCUGGGCCCCAGAAUAUGUGGCCUGGGCCUGGAAGGAGCAGUCCCCUUUCUUAGCCUUUAGGGACAUGUUGCCUCCUGCUUCCUGUCUUGCCUAGGGGUGGGGUGGGGCUGCAGGCCUGGGGUCCUGGGCCUCCUCACCUGCUCAGAGACUGGCUGGACUCCUCUCCAAGGUUUGCCCAGCGAGGAGAAAAGUGAGGAAGAGAAAAUGAAGGAAGAGGACAGCUCAUUCAAGCUCUGUGUCCCAGGCAUUGUUGCCCUCCAGUCGCCACCGAACAAGGCUUUCAGAUCCACAGACACAGUGGGUAAGGGCUUCCGCCCUUCCCCUCCCACGUGCCCCCAGGUCCAGGAAGCCUCGCUUUGGGUUUCCUGGAGUCGGAGUUGAAGAAGCUUCUGGGAAUGCAGCAAGAGUCCCGCCUCUGGAAGCUAGGCAGCCAAGAGGGCCGAGAGCUGCUUACCCGGCCAGAGAUCACCGUGGUGGAGGUGAGCAUUGUGGAUGGCCAGGUACGCUUGGCCCGUGCCAGACCACCAACCCCUUCCUGGGUGUCCUCGGGUGCUUGUCUCUGGGGGCAGGGAGAAGGUUAUGAGGUGCAGAGAAGACUGAGGCAUCUUCCUUCACCCAUUUCUGUCGCCCAGUGCCUGCUUCUUGAGGAGAAAGGUGAGAUGGGAAACUGGCCUCCAGAGUGA
rnacentral:lncRNA from 1 species